rnacentral:rRNA from 1 species
GUCCACGCCGUAAACGAUGUCUACUAGCUGUUCGUGGUCUUGUACUGUGAGUAGCGCAGCUAACGCACUAAGUAGACCGCCUGGGGAGUACGGUCGCAAGAUUAAAACUCAAAUGAAUUGACGGGGGCCCCGCACAAGCGGUGGAGCAUGUGGUUUAAUUCGACGCAACGCGAAGAACCUUACCUACUCUUGACAUCUACGGAAGACUGCAGAGAUGCGGUUGUGCCUUCGGGAACCGUAAGACAGGUGCUGCAUGGCUGUCGU